AGAGCGAACGCUGGCGGCGUGCUUAACACAUGCAAGUCGAACGCGCAGCAUUCUGUAGCAAUACAGGGUGUGGGCGCGUGGCGAACGGGUGCGUAACACGUGGAUAACCUUCCUUCAGGUGGGGAAUAACCCAGUGAAAAUUGGGCUAAUACCGCAUAACAAAACGAUGAGACAUCUUGUUGUUUUCAAAGGCGCAAGUCGCCAGAAGAGGGAUCCGCGGCCGAUUAGCUUGUUGGCGAGGUAAUGGCUCACCAAGGCAAUGAUCGGUAGCCGGACUGAGAGGUUGGCCGGCCACACUGGAACUGAGACACGGUCCAGACUCCUACGGGAGGCAGCAGUGGGGAAUCUUGCACAAUGGGCGAAAGCCUGAUGCAGCAACGCCGCGUGGGGGAUGAAGCUUCUCGGAGUGUAAACCCCUUUCGACCCGGAAGAAGCCCGCAAGGGUUGACGGUACGGGUAUAAGAAGCCCCGGCUAACUACGUGCCAGCAGCCGCGGUAAU
rnacentral:rRNA from 1 species